AAGGUGUAUUAUUAUGUGACUACAUAGCUUAGUGAUGGAAAUCUCAGCAGUCCACCUGUUGUUAUUGUUAAGGAAAGACUUACCCUGAUCCAAUCCAUUCCCGGCUUGAUUUCUCCAGCCCUAAGCCUUGAGUUAUCCAUCAACUAAGCAUACCUCUAAGAAAUUACAUCCAGAUGUACAAUAAGCCGUUGAAGAAACAACAGAAAUCAUCAAUUGGGGGUAUAUAUAAAUCAGAUUGGCUGCAGGACAGAUGCUGAAUGAUACCAUAUCGUAAAUGGUUCUGGUGCUCCUUUAAUUGUACUCAUUUGUUUAAUGAUGAUUCAAAAUUAUGACAGUCUUGGAAAAAGUGAUGGAAUGUUGUCUGGAUUCCUAGAAGGAAAGGAGUGCAUUCUAGAGGGACAAGAAACAUUGCAAUUUGUGUGGGAGAAAAAGGCUGAAGACAGUUCCUCUCUAACAGUUCCCUGAGCAUAUGUUUUAUGGUGCUUGUAAUCUGCUUUUGUUUGGCAAGAUUGCUGUCUAUAGAUAAGAACAAUAAAGGAAAUUUUAUCUCAA